UACGUAGGGGGCGAGCGUUGUCCGGAAUCAUUGGGCGUAAAGAGCUCGUAGGCGGCUUGUCGCGUCGUCCGUGAAAACCUGCAGCUCAACUGCAGGCUUGCGGUCGAUACGGGCAGGCUCGAGUUCGGUAGGGGAGACUGGAAUUCCUGGUGUAGCGGUGAAAUGCGCAGAUAUCAGGAGGAACACCGGUGGCGAAGGCGGGUCUCUGGGCCGAUACUGACGCUGAGGAGCGAAAGCGUGGGGAGCGAACAGG
rnacentral:rRNA from 1 species